AAUUUGUGCUACCCUGUCAGAUUUUGCUACCUCCCAUUAAAACAGAUGGUAGCAUAAUUCGACAGCGAAAAAUGCUACCUAUCAGAUUUUGCUUCCAGCAUGAUAUUAAUAUUGUGUGAGGCUUUAUUAACGUGUACACCUACCCCAACCCUAAACAUAACAUUACAGUAUGAAAAACACAGUGUUGGUAGCACAAUCUGACAGGUAGCAUUAUUUGUUAAAACACCGGACCAGUUUCGGAUUUCUUUGGAGUUUUGGGGGGGCUUUAUACAACGUGCAACACAUAAGACCAUCAGAUCUACUGAUCUGUAGCGGCUGAUCAACGCAUCAAGAACUUUUAUUGGAACUGAUACAGGAUCCAAGUACCUCUGUGGUGAAGAAGAGAGACGUGACUCUGAGAUGCCUCACUGAAUACAUGGGAGAGAGUGGGCAAGAGCUAAUCUCUGACUACUAUGGAAAAACGGAGAGCAGUGUCCAUGAGGACUUGAAAAUAUGCAGAUAUAUGUCUGCCGUGAACCAGAUGCAGUGGGCAUCAUCUUUGAGGGAAUCCCAGUGCUUACUGAUCUUGGAAAUCUGGCCAGGGCGUGUUGCCUGCUUCUGGGGAUGACAUGCUCUGAACCUGCAGUAUCCACCACAACUCUGCAAAACAUUUGAGGUGUUCCAAAGACUUUUUGUGGGACUUGACACACUGCGCCCAAA